rnacentral:rRNA from 1 species
GACGAACGCUGGCGGCGUGCCUAAUACAUGCAAGUCGAGCGGAUCUUCAUUAGCUUGCUUUUGAAGAUCAGCGGCGGACGGGUGAGUAACACGUGGGCAACCUGCCUGUAAGACUGGGAUAACUUCGGGAAACCGGAGCUAAUACCGGAUAAUCCUUUUCCUCUCAUGAGGAAAAGCUGAAAGACGGUUUCGGCUGUCACUUACAGAUGGGCCGGCGGCGCAUUAGCUAGUUGGUGAGGUAACGGCUCACCAAGGCGACGAUGCGUAGCCGACCUGAGAGGGUGAUCGGCCACACUGGGACUGAGACACGGCCCAGACUCCUACGGGAGGCAGCAGUAGGGAAUCUUCCGCAAUGGACGAAAGUCUGACGGAGCAACGCCGCGUGAGCGAUGAAGGCCUUCGGGUCGUAAAGCUCUGUUGUCAGGGAAGAACAAGUAUCGGAGUAACUGCCGGUACCUUGACGGUACCUGACCAGAAAGCCACGGCUAACUACGUGCCAGCAGCCGCCGUAA